GGACCAUGUCUGGCUGCCAUGCUCUGGGGAGACAGCUGCUCAUAGUGUUGCAGCGUGCAGGACAAUGAACAUUCAAGACACCUGAUCCCAGUACUUUGCAAACAGUUUUACCACUUGAGUUGGGUCACUGGGACUGGAGGAGGAAUUAGCUUGGAGUAUGGCAAUGAAAUCUACAUUGCUCCUUCAGGAGUGCAAAAGGAACAAAUUCAGCAGGAAGAUAUGUUUGUUUGUGAUGUAAAUGAGCAGGAUAUAAGAAACUAAAAAAAAAAAAUAGCCAGUGCAAUCCUCUUUUCAUGAAUUCUUACACAAUUAGAGGAGCAGGUGCAGUGAUUCGAAUCCACUCUAAAGCUGCUGUGAUGGCCACCCUCCUCUUUCCAGGAUGAGAGUUUAAAAUUACACAUCCAGAGAUGAUCAAAGGAAUAAGGCAAUGUACCUCAGGAGGGUAUUUUAGAUAUGAUGAUAUGUUAGUGGCACCUAUUAUUGAG
rnacentral:lncRNA from 1 species